CCUACGGGAGGCAGCAGUGAGGAAUAUUGGUCAAUGGCCGUAAGGCUGAACCAGCCAAGUCGCGUGAAGGAAGAAGGAUCUAUGGUUUGUAAACUUCUUUUAUAUGGGAAUAAAAUGUUCCACGUGUGGGUUUUUGUAUGUACCAUAUGAAUAAGGAUCGGCUAACUCCGUGCCAGCAGCCGCGGUAAUACGGAGGAUCCGAGCGUUAUCCGGAUUUAUUGGGUUUAAAGGGAGCGUAGGUGGAUUGUUAAGUCAGUUGUGAAAGUUUGCGGCUCAACCGUAAAAUUGCAGUUGAAACUGGCAGUCUUGAGUACAGUAGAGGUGGGCGGAAUGCGUGGUGUAGCGGUGAAAUGCUUAGAUAUCACGAAGAACUCCGAUUGCGAAGGCAGCUCACUGGACUGCAACUGACACUGAGGCUCGAAAGUGUGGGUAUCAAACAGGAUUAGAUACCCCUGUAGUC
rnacentral:rRNA from 1 species